rnacentral:rRNA from 1 species
UACGUAGGGGGCAAGCGUUGUCCGGAAUCAUUGGGCGUAAAGAGCGCGUAGGCGGCCCUGUAAGUCCGCUGUGAAAGUCAAGGGCUCAACCCUUGAAUGCCGGUGGAUACUGCGAAGCUAGAGUACGGAAGAGGCGAGUGGAAUUCCUGGUGUAGCGGUGGAAUGCGCAGAUAUCAGGAGGAACACCAAUAGCGAAGGCAGCUCGCUGGGACGUUACUGACACUAAGGCGCGAAAGCGUGGGGAGCGAACAGG